rnacentral:rRNA from 1 species
GUUGUAUGGUUAAGUGACUAAGCGUACACGGUGGAUGCCUGGGCAGUCAGAGGCGAUGAAGGACGUACUAACUUGCGAUAAGCGCAGAUAAGGCAGUAAGAGCCGUUUGAGUCUGCGAUUUCCGAAUGGGGAAACCCAACUGCAUAAGCAGUUACUGUUAACUGAAUACAUAGGUUAACAGAGCAAACCGGGGGAACUGAAACAUCUAAGUACCCCGAGGAGAAGAAAUCAACCGAGAUUCCGGUAGUAGCGGCGAGCGAACCUGGAUUAGCCCUUAAGCACUCGGUGAAGUAGGUGAACAAGCUGGAAAGCUUGGCGAUACAGGGUGAUAGCCCCGUAACCGACGCUUCAUCGAGCGUGAAAUCGAGUAGGACGGGACACGUGAUAUCCUGUCUGAAUAUGGGGGACCAUCCUCCAAGGCUAAAUACUCCUGACUGACCGAUAGUGAACCAGUACCGUGAGGGAAAGGCGAAAAGAACCCCUGUGAGGGGAGUGAAAUAGAACCUGAAACCGUGUACGUACAAGCAGUAGGAGCACCUUCGUGGUGUGACUGCGUACCUUUUGUAUAAUGGGUCAGCGACUUAUAUUCAGUGGCAAGGUUAACCGUAUAGGGGAGCCGUAGCGAAAGCGAGUCUUAACUGGGCGCUCAGUCUCUGGAUAUAGACCCGAAACCGGGUGAUCUAGCCAUGGGCAGGUUGAAGGUUGAGUAACAUCAACUGGAGGACCGAACCGACUAAUGUUGAAAAAUUAGCGGAUGACUUGUGGCUAGGGGUGAAAGGCCAAUCAAACUCGGAGAUAGCUGGUUCUCCCCGAAAGCUAUUUAGGUAGCGCCUCGGACGAAUACUACUGGGGGUAGAGCACUGUUAAGGCUAGGGGGUCAUCCCGACUUACCAACCCUUUGCAAACUCCGAAUACCAGUAAGUACUAUCCGGGAGACACACGGCGGGUGCUAACGUCCGUCGUGGAGAGGGAAACAACCCAGACCGCCAGCUAAGGUCCCAAAGUAUUGCUAAGUGGGAAACGAUGUGGGAAGGCUCAGACAGCUAGGAUGUUGGCUUAGAAGCAGCCAUCAUUUAAAGAAAGCGUAAUAGCUCACUAGUCGAGUCGGCCUGCGCGGAAGAUGUAACGGGGCUAAGCAAUACACCGAAGCUGCGGCAAUGUCUUUUAGACAUUGGGUAGGGGAGCGUUCUGUAAGCCGUUGAAGGUGAAUCGUAAGGUUUGCUGGAGGUAUCAGAAGUGCGAAUGCUGACAUGAGUAACGACAAAGGGGGUGAAAAACCUCCUCGCCGGAAGACCAAGGGUUCCUGUCCAACGUUAAUCGGGGCAGGGUGAGUCGACCCCUAAGGUGAGGCCGAAAGGCGUAAUCGAUGGGAAACGGGUUAAUAUUCCCGUACUUCUGACUAUUGCGAUGGGGGGACGGAGAAGGCUAGGUGGGCCAGGCGACGGUUGUCCUGGUUCAAGUGCGUAGGCUUGAGAGUUAGGUAAAUCCGGCUCUCUCUAAGGCUGAGACACGACGUCGAGCUACUACGGUAGUGAAGUCAUUGAUGCCAUGCUUCCAGGAAAAGCCUCUAAGCUUCAGAUAGUCAGGAAUCGUACCCCAAACCGACACAGGUGGUCGGGUAGAGAAUACCAAGGCGCUUGAGAGAACUCGGGUGAAGGAACUAGGCAAAAUGGUACCGUAACUUCGGGAGAAGGUACGCUCUUGAUGGUGAAGUCCCUCGCGGAUGGAGCUGACGAGAGUCGCAGAUACCAGGUGGCUGCAACUGUUUAUUAAAAACACAGCACUGUGCAAAAUCGCAAGAUGACGUAUACGGUGUGACGCCUGCCCGGUGCCGGAAGGUUAAUUGAUGGGGUUAGCGCAAGCGAAGCUCUUGAUCGAAGCCCCGGUAAACGGCGGCCGUAACUAUAACGGUCCUAAGGUAGCGAAAUUCCUUGUCGGGUAAGUUCCGACCUGCACGAAUGGCGUAAUGAUGGCCACGCUGUCUCCACCCGAGACUCAGUGAAAUUGAAAUCGCUGUGAAGAUGCAGUGUACCCGCGGCUAGACGGAAAGACCCCGUGAACCUUUACUACAGCUUGGCACUGAACAUUGAACCUACAUGUGUAGGAUAGGUGGGAGGCUAUGAAGACGUGACGCCAGUUGCGUUGGAGCCGUCCUUGAAAUACCACCCUUGUAUGUUUGAUGUUCUAACUUAGACCCAUUAUCUGGGUUGAGGACAGUGCCUGGUGGGUAGUUUGACUGGGGCGGUCUCCUCCCAAAGAGUAACGGAGGAGCACGAAGGUGGGCUAAUCACGGUUGGACAUCGUGAGGUUAGUGCAAUGGCAUAAGCCCGCUUAACUGCGAGAAUGACGGUUCGAGCAGGUGCGAAAGCAGGUCAUAGUGAUCCGGUGGUUCUGUAUGGAAGGGCCAUCGCUCAACGGAUAAAAGGUACUCCGGGGAUAACAGGCUGAUACCGCCCAAGAGUUCAUAUCGACGGCGGUGUUUGGCACCUCGAUGUCGGCUCAUCACAUCCUGGGGCUGAAGUCGGUCCCAAGGGUAUGGCUGUUCGCCAUUUAAAGUGGUACGCGAGCUGGGUUUAGAACGUCGUGAGACAGUUCGGUCCCUAUCUGCCGUGGGCGUUGGAAGAUUGAAGGGGGCUGCUCCUAGUACGAGAGGACCGGAGUGGACGAACCUCUGGUGUUCGGGUUGUGUCGCCAGACGCAUUGCCCGGUAGCUAAGUUCGGAAUUGAUAAGCGCUGAAAGCAUCUAAGCGCGAAGCGAGCCCUGAGAUGAGUCUUCCCUGACAGUUUAACUGUCCUAAAGGGUUGUUCGAGACUAGAACGUUGAUAGGCAGGGUGUGUAAGCGUUGUGAGGCGUUGAGCUAACCUGUACUAAUUGCCCGUGAGGCUUAACCAUACAACACCCAAGGGGUUUUGUA